GCAUCGGUGGUUUAGUGUAAGCACCCAAACUUCGCCGUCCUCAACAACUGAUACUAAUAACACGCCAGGGUAAAAUUAGCCGUUGCCAAGUGCAAUAUCGGCUAGCCCCGGGUUCGAUUCCCGGCCGAUGCA